rnacentral:rRNA from 1 species
GACGAACCGUCCAAACGUUAUUCGGAAUCACUGGGCUUACAGAGUUCGUAGGCGGUCUGGAAAGUUGGGUGUGAAAUCCCUCGGCUCAACCGAGGAACUGCGCUUGAAACUACCAGACUCGAGGGAGAUAGAGGAAAGCGGAACUGAUGGUGGAGCGGUGAAAUGCGUUGAUAUCAUCAGGAACGCCGGUGGCGAAGGCGGCUUUCUGGGUCUUACCUGACGCUGAGGAACGAAAGCCAGGGGAGCGAACGGG